UGGUGUCUGCAGUCUAUGAAUACUCCCAUGCAGAAUAAUGCGAUUAUCGCAAAUAUCACUCCGAUCACAACAACGACUAUGGUAACGAUCGCGUCUUCUUCGGCGGGUGUCAAUGGCGAUUCCGUCGACGACCAGAACCAACUGACAUGAGUCACCCGCCAGAUUCGGGACGUGACGCGAGAUCCCGAUUAUUUUUACUCGAUCUUUUCAACGAGCUGCAAUUCUCUGCAACAGUUUUGAUAACCUCGAUUGCACUU
rnacentral:misc_RNA from 1 species